GGAGUCUUGAUCGUGGAAAUAAUUAUGGAUACAGUCAAACAAUUUACUGUAUGCAUUGUAAACACCCCCGACAGCAGUGGCAGGUGUCAUCAGAAAGUCAAGUCAAAUGUUUGUCGUAAACUGCCUAUAUGAUAUGUUUUGGGUGAUUAGAAGAUGGUGGGUCUCUGACCUUGAACCAUGGUAUAGUCUCUUGGAUCAGGUUCUCUCUGAUCUGGUUUGUUUUCUCAUCUAUAAAAAGAACAGAUCAUGCUUGCCCAAUGUAUGAGUUUGGAGAAGUAUAUGUGAAAGUGCUUACAAGCUACAAAAGUGUUAAGACAGUAGAUUGUUGCUAACAUUUUAACUUCAUGUGUGCCUUCUCAGUGAGACUGUGAGGCCUUCCAGGGCAAGACCAAGACCUUUUGUAGAAAAAUUAUUUUAUUGGAGUUCCUGUCAUGGCUCAACGGGUUAAGACUCUGACUAGUAUCCAUGAGGUUCAGGUUUGAUUCCUGGCCUCAUUCAGUGGGUUAAGGAUCCAGUGUUGCCAUAAGCUGCAUGUGCCAUAAGCAGCUCGGAUCCCAUGUUGCCGUGGCUGUGGGUAGGUCGGCAGUUGCAGCUCUGAUUCGACCCUGAGCCUGGUCGCAGGUGUGGCCCUAAAAAAGAAAAAAAAAAAUUAUUUUAUUGAAGUUUAGUUGAUUUACAGUGUUGUGUUAGUUUCUGGUCUAUAGCAAAGCAAUUCAGUUACACCUAUAUGUUCUCUUUUAUAUUCUUUUCCAUUAUGGAUUAUCACAGGGUAUUGCAUAUAGUCCCUAUGCUCUGCAGUAGGACCUUGUUGUUUACGAAUUCUGUAUGUGUUAGUUCGCAUCUGCUAAUCUCAAACUCCCAAUUCAUCCCUUUCCACCCCAUUCUCCCUCAGCAGCCCCAAGUCUGUUCUCAAUAAGACCAAGUCUUGUGCACAGCUUUUUGGUGCCCUCUGUAACCCCCAGCAUCAUCUUUCUUAUAUUUCAGAUCUUUAAUAAAUGUUCGGUUGAGCAGAAAGGCAAAGAGGAGGAAGGCAUAUUCUCAGCGACUGUUUCUCCUCCUUUUCCUUAUAGGUUCUGCUUCUAUCUUUUAAUUGUUCCCUCGCUCCACUCCAGGCUGCCCAGGCCCAGUGCACACAGUCUGUAGCACAGGGGUUCUCUCUAGACAGCUGUAGGAACAAACCUAGAUUCCAAGCCAGCUCUAGAUUGGGUGGUGCACCUAGUGCAUCAUGUGGCUGUUCUGGGCAUCAUGUUCUAUGAAGUGUGAUUAUCAUCCAGCCCAGAGGGUUCUUAUCAUCUGUAGGAGCCCUUGCAAAAUUAAAAAAUGAUGAGAUAAAAAAUGAAGCAGGUUCUGUAGUCAGGAUGGGUCAUAUUCCAGAUCUUGGUCUUGGAGAGUCACAGUGUACAAGAGUGUGCUCAAGGCUUGGAAAAAAAAUCCUGCAGAAAUGAAAGAGAGAGAGGGAGGGAGGAAGAAGAGGUGAUGCUUAGGACCAUUAAUCUAGUCUGAGAUACACUAGAUUAAAAUGAUCCCUAAGAUCCCUUCCAGUUUUAAACAUUAAGGAAUCUAUUACAUUGAAUGAUAUGGAACAUUAUUCAAUAUCACAUAGAAUUUGUUCAUGAGAAAAUCCUUCAAAUGUGGGCUUUAUGCUUGACUGAUCUCAACAACUCAUGGUAUCCAAUUAAUUUAAUAUAAAUUCACAAUGAGCAGAAUAACAUAUGUGGAAGCUGUCUCCAGUCUCUCACAGUCCUGGCAAACUUGUUUUCUUUGCCCUCAAGUUGUCAAACUAGCACAUAUGAGGCUUUUCUUUCUAACAGGAGAUGUUGAUUUACAUGCGGCUGUCUAGUUUUCCAGCACCACUUGCUGUAGAGACUGUCUUUUUCCCAUUUUAUGUUCUUGCCUCUUUUGUCAAAGAUUAAUUGCCCAUAGGUGUCUGGGUUUAUCUCUGGAUUCUCGAUUCUGUUCCAUUGGUCUGUAUGUAUGUUUUUGUACCAGUUACCACAUUGUCUUGAUUACUGUAGUUUUGCAAUAUUGUCUGAAGUCUGGGAGAGUUAUGAUUCCUGCUUGGCUUUUUCCCUCAGGAUUGCUUUGGCAAUUCUGGGUCUUUUAUGGUUUCAUAUAAAUUUUUGGAUUGUUUGUUCUAGUUCUGUGGAAAAUGUCAUGGGUAAUUUGAUAGGGAUUGCAUUGAAUCUGUAGAUUGCUUUGGGAAGUGUGGCCAUUUUAAUGAUAUGAAUUCUUCUGUUCCAGGAGCAUGGACUAUCUUUCCAUUUCUUUGAAUCCUCUUUAAUUUCCUUGAUUAAUGUUUUAUAGUUCUCAGUAUAUGUCUUUCACCUCCUUGGUCAGGUUUAUUCCUAGAUAUGUAAAUUUUUUUUGGUGCAACUUUAAAACGUAUUGCAUUUUUGUAUUCCUUUUCUAAUAUUUCAUUGUUAGUAUGCAGAAAUGCAACCAAUUUCUGAAUGUUAAUCUUAUAUCCUGCUACUUUUCUGAAUUCAUUGGUCACUUUGAGUAGUUUUUGUGUGGCAUCCUUGGGGUUCUCUAUGCAUAGUAGCAUGUCAUCUGCAUAGAGUCAGGUGUUAGAAUAUCAUAGUUUUAAGUACAUUUGGAAUAUUGAUGAUUCUGGGCUAAAUGACUGUUGAUGCCUCAAAAUUAUUAUUUAGCCAUCGUGCUAAUCCUGAUAGGGUGUUUCCUGGGAACCCAGCCAUCUGGGAAAAACUCCAAUAAGUGACACUCUCAGGGUAAUUACUCUAGUAUCCUGGGGUGUAAGAACCCCAUUGAUAAUUAGUGCAUGACUGUCAUGAUUUUCAGAGGUGAUGGAAUAUAAGUACCAGCUUAACUAAAAUUCCAGAGUGGUUUUUCCAUCCAAAACAGGUGGCUACACACACCUGCCAGAAUAAUAACCAAUCAUGACUAGCAUUUACAGAGUGUUUGUCAUGUGCCAAGGCAUCGUUCUAAGCCUGAUGAGGUAUUAAAUCAUUUACUUAUUCAGUAACUCUAUGAGGAAAGUACUUCUUUUAUAGAUAAUGUAAUGGAAACAAGGAGAGGUUAAAAAACUGGCGCAAAGUCACACGGCUGUUAAGUGACAGAGCUAGAACUUGAAAUCACAUUUUGUGAAAAUUGUCAUUCACUUUUCAAGUGAAUCUUUGACCAGGGUCCUUUGUCAUCACUAGAGUCAUUUUUUGGAUACAUAACAUUUUUUCAGACUAUAUCAUCUGCCACUUCAUAUACCUUAAACUACAGCAUUUUAAAAAAUAGGAUUCUGUCAGUAGAAAUUUUCCAAGCCACCCAUCCUUAUUUACAUAUAAUUAGGGACAUGUUGUCUCCCCCCCCUUUUUUUGCUUUUUAGGGCCACACCCGAAGCAUAUGGAAGUUCCCAGGCUAGGGGUCAAAUAGGAGCUACAGGUGCUGGCCUACGCCAUGGCCACACCAGAUCUAAGCCGCAUCUGCAACCUACACCACAGCUCACGGCAAUGUCCGUAUCCUUAACCCACUGAGAGGCCAGGGAUCAAACCCACAUCCUAGUGGAUACCAGUCAGGUUCAUUUCCACUGCGCCACAAUAGGAACUCUGGGUCAUGUGUUUUCUUUAUUCUUACUAUAGGUGUGUAGCCAUGCUCUCCAUAAUAUUACUGUACUUAUUUUUAAAUGAAGAAUAGUUUUUCGUUAUUAUAGAAACCCAGAAAAUCCAGAGAGCAACAAUGAGAAAAUAAAUGCCAUGUUCCCACUGUGGUAGGCUAGUUAGUAGCGCCUCGAAGGUAUCUAUGUCUUGAUCCCCAGAACUUGUGAACAUGUUAAGUUACCUGGCAAAGGGGAAGUAAGGCUGCAGGUGGAAUUAAGGUUGCUCAUCAGCUGACCUUGAGAUGAGGGAGUGCCCUGGAUUAUCCUGAUGGGCCCAACUAUCACAAAGAUCCUAAUAAUUGGAAGAGGGAUGCAGAAGAGAAGUUCAAGGUGAGGCAGUGUGUGAAGAAUUCAAUCUGCUGUUGCUGGCUCUAAAGAGAGAGGAAGAACCAUGAGCCAGGAAAUGUGGGCAGUCUCUAGAAGCUGGAAAAAGAAAGGAAAGGGAGCCUCCAGAAAGAAGGGCAGCCCUGCCAGCACCUUGAUUGUUAGUACACUGAGACCGUGUUGGACUUCUAACCUACAGAACUGUAACAGUACAUUUUUAUCAUUUUAAUCCACCAAAUGUUUGGUAAUUUGUGUGGCAGCAGUAAGAAAACCAAUACACCCACCAACCAGAAACUGUGAAGCAUGAGUCUUUUAUUAUAUUUAUUUCUAGAUCUUUUCAUGCACACACACAUAUUUUUUAUGCUCGAACAAGAUCAUAAUUUGUAAAUAGCUUGCUUUCCUUUAAUAAUCUUUUUUUCCCUGUCAAUAAAUUUUCAUGGCAUCUAAUACUGCAAUCAUAUUAAAAUAACCCUAAUUGUUCCCCAGCUAUUCUCCCAAAGCUGGCUUGUCCAAAUCAGGAUUUACGUCUGGGCCAUGCAUUUUUAAUGCUUUGUUAUAUCCCUUAGGUAUUUUAAAUCUAAAACAGUCCUUUUUUCCAUCUACUAAUUUUCCUUCUCGAUGUUUGUCUGAUUGCUUCCUCAUGUGGUCGCUUAGCUUGCUCCUCUGUCCCCUACAUUUCCUGUAAAUCGGAAGUUACAUCAAAGAGCUUCGUCAAGUCAUAUGAAUGCAUUUUGUCCAGAAUACAUUUUGGGUGCUGUUGUGUGUUUCGGAUGGCAUUCCAUCAGGAGGCCCGUGCCAUCUGGGUUCCACCAUCAUGUGCCAAAACUCCGACUGUCCUCUGGUUAGGGGAUAGCAGCCUGAGCUUGCUGCUAGAGAAGGAUGCUGUUCCCCUGUGACCAGAAAGUAUGCCAUGUGGAUUUCCUUUAACCCCAUGCAGAUGUGCGGCUUCCCCUCAGCUAUUCACCUACUGGCCAGCUCCGUUUGACAGUCCUUGCUGGAGUUAAUAUGCCUUAGAGAUCACGAAAUGGUGAUGUUUUUCCAAUGCUGUCAUUUUUCUACAUUAACUAGCUGCUUUUCUUAGUGACGCGACGCCUUCCCCAGUCAACCAGAUCUGUUUGGUUGCCCUGACAAACAUUCUCGACUGGGGAAGCCUUUUGGACUGCCUCUUCCUUUCAUUGUCAAUUCUUUCUUUUUUUUGUUUUUUGUUUUUUUAGGGCCACACCCACUGCAUAUGGAAGUUCCUAGGCUCCGGGUCGAAUUGGAGCUGCAGCUGCUGGCCUGCGCCUUAGCCACAGCAGCUCGGGAUCCCAGCCGCAUCCGCGAUCUACACCACAGCUCGCAGCAACACGGGAUCCUUAACCCACUGAGCGAGGCCCGCAUCCUCAUGGAUACUAGCUGGGGUUCGUUACUGCUGAGCCAGGACAGGAACUCCCUAAUUGUCAAUCCUUAAAGGGAGGAGUUUAACAAUCACCUCAGUGAUGGCAACUGAUUUUUUUUUUUCUUUUAGAGUAUCAUUAUGAGCUUAAAGAUUUUCACAAAUCAGGGUAUUUCUUUCUGCAGUUCUUCUGUCGUCAUUUUACCAAUGUGAUAUAUGUUUAGAUUUUUCAAUUCUAGGAUUUUUUUUUAGUUGUAAUUUUUCAUAGGUAAUGCAUUUCUAAAUUUCAAUAUCAAAAUUAUAUGGAAAGUAUUCACAGAGAAGUCUUACUUCUGCUCAUACUCCCCUCCCUGCUUCUAUACAUAAUCCUAUUUUAUUAGAUUCUUAUUUAUAUGUUCAGUGUAGUAGGGAUUUUUUUGCAUGUAUGAGUACGUGGAUGUGUAUGUGUUGGGGAUGUAGCCUUAUUUUAAUGCCCCCCUUCAUUCACAUACCCCUUGCUUUAUUUUUUUUUUCAUUUAAUACUAUAUUCUGGAGAUCUCUCUGUCUAUAUCACUGCAUGCAAACAUUUCUCAUUCCUUCUUUAGAACUUCUUAUAAUUCCAUUGUGUAAUGUACUGCAGUUUAUUCAACCAGCUGCCUAUUAUGGAACUUGUGCAUUCUUUCUAAGCUUUUAUUGUUGCAAUCAAUGCUGCAGUGAUUAAAUGUGUGCCUUUAUUAUCUUGUACAUGAGCAGAUAUAAAUGUAGGUAGGUUCCUAAAAGUUGGUUGCUGGGUCAAUGGGUUAUUAUAUUAGUAAUUCUCUUUAUGUUUCCAGAUUAUAUUCCAAGGACUCAGUACUCAACUACCAUGCUAAAUUGCUUCUUGAUUAUCUUGAUCUCAUCACAUAGAUGAGUGCAUGACCUUUAAAACAAAGUGGAGCCCUAAAAUAAACAAACAAAAAAUAUUGGAGUUCCCAUCAUGGCUUAUCGGUUAACAAAUGCAACUAGCAUCCAUGAGGACUCGGGUUUGAUCCCUGGCCUCGCUCAGUGGGUUACGGAUCCAGUGUUGCUGUGGCUGUGGUGUAGGUCGCAGACACGGCUCGGAUCUGAUAUUGCUGUGGCUCUGGCGUAGGCCAGUAGCUACAGCUUGGAUUAGGCCCCUAGCCUGGAAACCUCCAUAUGCCUCGGGUACGGCCCUAAAAAAAAAAAAAAAAAAAAAAAAAAA
rnacentral:lncRNA from 1 species